rnacentral:rRNA from 1 species
GACGAACGCUGGCGGCGUGCCUAAUACAUGCAAGUAGGACGCAGUUGCGAACGGGUGAGUAACGCGUAGGUAACUACCUAUUAGAGGGGGAUAACUAUUGGAAACGAUAGCUAAUACCGCAUACUAGUAGAUGGACCUUCGUUGUAUUAGCUAGUAGGUAGGGUAAUGGCCUACCUAGGCAACGAUACAUAGCCGACCCGGGAGGGUGGUCGGCCACACUGGGAAUGGGGCACGGCCCAGACACCUGCGGGAGGCAGCAGGAGGGGAAUUUCGGAAAUGGGGGGAACCCUGACCGAGCAACGCCGCGUGAGUUAAGAAAGGUUUCGGAUCGUAAAGCUCUGUUGAUAAGGAAGCGGUACUUAACCAGAAAGCGACGGCUAACUACGUGCCAGCAGCCGCGGUAAUUC